AACAUCGCGCACCUGCGGGAACCUGCGGAAGGAUCAUUAUCGAGUGUAACUGACCCCCUAAAAAAGGGUAGUACCUCCCGUCCUUUGCAGGCCCCCUUUUUAUGGGGGGCUUUUUUUAAGACUUUCUGCUUCGGCGGGGUUACUCCCGCCGGAACACCCUCAAAAAACUCUCAAAAAAACCGUUCAGUCCGAGAACUUUUUAAAAAUAUAAAAAAAAACUUUUAGCAACGGAUCUCAGAU
rnacentral:misc_RNA from 1 species